rnacentral:lncRNA from 1 species
AUGUUUCUAUCAGAGAGAAAUAAAAGUUGGGCCGUGUUCACUCUUCUGGGCUUCUCCGAUUACCCAGAGUUGCACGUGCCCCUCUUCUUGACAUUCUUCACCAUCUCCAGUGUCACUAGUGUCACUGUGGCAGGGAAUCCUGGGAUGAUUGUAACCAUCAAAAUUAACCCCAAAGUGCACACCCCCAUGUACCUUUUCCUCAGCCACCUCUCCUUUGUGGAUUUCUGUUAUUCCUCCAUCGUUGCUCCCAAGACCAUGCUGAACCUCAUGGUAGAAGACAGAACCACUUCAGUUGUAGGCUGUGAAAUACAAUUCUUUUUCUUUUGUACCUUUGUGGUGACUGAGUCCUUUUUAUUAGCUGUGAUGGCCUAUGACCGCCUCGUGGCCAUCUGCAACCCUCUGCUCUGCAUGGUGGCCAUGUCCCAGAGACUCUGUGCCAUGUUAGUGGUUGGAUCUUAUGCUUGUGGUGUAGCUUUCUCCUUGAUACUCACCUGUACUGUUAUCAAAUUAUCAUUUCAAGGUUUCAACACAAUCGAUCACUUCUUCUGUGAGUUCUCCUCCCUGCUUCCCCCCUCUUGCUCUGAUACUUAUCUCAACCAGUUGCUGCUUUUCAUUUCUGCCACCUUUAAUGAGGUCAGCACACUCUUCAUCAUUCUCCUGACUUAUGUGUUUAUGGUUGUCACCAUCCUCAAGAUGCGUUCAGCCUGUGGUUGCGGCAAAGCCUUCUCCACCUGCACCUCCCACCUGACUGCCAUCAGCAUCUUCCCCGGCACCAUCCUCUUCCUCUACUGUGUGCCCAGCUCCACACCCUCCAGGCACACAAAGUGGCCUCUGUGUUUUACACGGUGGUCACCUCCAUGUUGAAUCCCCUGAUCUACAGUCUGAGAAAUAAGGAUGUCAAAGACACAGUCUCCAACAUCAUGGACUCUAAAAUAUUUUCAUACUAA